rnacentral:rRNA from 1 species
UACGUAGGGUGCAAGCGUUGUCCGGAAUUAUUGGGUGCGUAAAGAGCUCGUAGGCGGUCUGUCGCGAUCGGUCUGUGAAAAACCCGGAGCUCAACUCCGGGCCUGCAGUCGAUACGGGCGAGACUUGGAGUUCGGCAGGGGAGAACUGGAAUUCCUGGUGUAGCGGUGAAAUGACGCAGAUAUCAGGAGGAACACCGGUGGCGAAGGCGGGUCUCUGGGCCGAUACUGCGUGAGGAGCGAAAGCGUGGGGAGCGAACAGG